rnacentral:rRNA from 1 species
GACGAACCGUGCGAACGUUAUUCGGAAUCACUGGGCUUAAAGCGCGUGUAGGCGGGUGGGAACGUCGGCCACUGAAAGCCCCCGGCUCAACCGGGGAAGGGGUGCCGAAACGGCCCGCCUGGAGGGGCGUAGGGGGACCUGGAACUUCCGGUGGAGCGGUGAAAUGCGUUGAGAUCGGAAGGAACGCCCGUGGCGAAAGCGAGGUCCUGGACGCCAUCUGACGCUGAGACGCGAAAGCCAGGGGA